CCAGGCUAGGGAUUGAAUCAGAGCUAUAGCUGCCAGCCACAGCCACAGCCACACAGGAUCCAAGCUGCGUCUGUGACCUAUACCACAGCUCACAGCAACACCAGAUCCCCGACCUACUGAACAAGGCCAGGGAUAAGAAAGAAAUAUGAAUUUAAGGAACUGCCUGAGAUCUUGACCUGUGAGGUACUACCUGGGGGGCCCUGGCACCUCUCAAAAGUGUGAACCUCUGCAUCAGAACCUAUUCCAUCAGUGCACAUUCCAGCCCAGGAGAAGAACUGGUCGGGGGAGACCAGCAUGUCCCAUGCUCUGGGGGUAAUCAUAAAAGGGCUAUGCGGGAAGAUGUGGCUUUACAAGCGCCCCUACUGGUAAAAGGGAGUCCCCUGCAAUGUUACAGGUAUAAAGGGCAGUGGACCUGCAUGGGCAGGUAGGGGUGAGAAGAGAGGCCUGAGCAGAGAGUCAGGUGGGUGAGGAAAAAAGAGAAGAGUGUGCAAAGUCCCUGGGGCAGGAACUACCUAGAGCCCCCGCACUCCCACCCUGUCCUUCCAGGUUAGCUCUCGCGGAUCUUCAGUUUUUUACUUUAACAAGUCCAACCUAAGCUGCCUCUGAGGGGUGAGCAUGGGGGAUGCAGUGGGGACCUGAGCCCUAUCUGGGCUCAUUCCGAAAGGGCUGCCAGGAGGAACAGAAGGGGCCAGGUGCUCAUGGGCUGAGGUGCACUCAAGCCAGGGUGUCUCGGCUCCAGAACAGACUUGCUUUAGGGACCAGGAACUCCACAUCUCUGCUUCUUCCCUUGGAAAUUAACACUGUUAAGGCCAACCUGAUUCUGCACACUCAACCCAUACUCACUGAGCUGCUCCACGUGGGAGACCCUGAGGGAGACGCAGGCCCUAUCCCUCCCAGCACCCAGGCUACCACAGGAGCUGACGCCUGACCUUAGUGAGCUCCCUGAUUCUUCUCAGCAAGCCAAUGGGGUUGAUUUCCUACCCCUAAAACUCAGCUGGGAAAGCUGAGUCCAUGCAGAAGCUAAGAUCUGUCCUAAGGUUACACAUAAGCGGUAGAGGCAAGAUUCAAAGCCAGAUCUGUCUGACCAAUGAAACCCAAGGUUUCCCUCAGCUGUACCCUCUUCCUCUUCAUCAAAAUCAUUGUUACUGCUACGAAAAACAAAAAGGCAAUCAGGAGGGGGAGGCAGUGACAGGGAAAUCCUAGUUACAAGGCAGCAUACAGCUCCCAGGAGCUGGGCCUCUGAGUGAGGAGGCAGAGGAAACUGAGGCAUCAAGAGGCAAAGGACAGAGCCCUGACCCGCCUCCCCAGACUGCCAAACCAAAGCCCUUUGGGGUACUGGGGACCAAGUGACCAGGGCCAAGGCAGACAAGGAAGAGGCUGGUUGGCCUCUAGUCCCUGGAGGGGUGCUCUAGACCCGUGGCAUGAGAGGUUCACAACCCCUAGGAAGUGGACCAAGGCAGGACAGGCAUACAGCAGAGCUAGAGCCACACCCGCAGCAUAUGGUAGUUCCCAGGCUAGGGGUCGAAUGGCGGCUAUAGCUGCCUGCCUACACCACAGCCAUAGCAAUGUCUGCGAUCUACACCAUAGCUCAAUACAAUGCUGGAUCCUUAACCCACUAAGCAAGGCCAGGAUGAAACCCGUGUCCUCAUGGAUACUAGUUGGGUUUGUUACUGCUAAGCCAUGACAGAGACUUCUAAACCUGGGUUCUGCUGCAACAGCCCCAUCAUCCUGAAGCUGUGUGACCUCAGGCCAGCCCCUCACCUCUCUGUGCCUCAGUCUGUUCAUCUGUAAAAUGGGGAGGUAUUCACUCACCCCCACCCCACCCCAAUGGACUGCAAGGUGCUGGGGACACAGCCCUGAAGAGGGCUGGCUAUGCCUGUAUGGAGCUCACUGCCCAGUGGGGAGACACAGAGGGUGAUUUAAUUUCAGGUGAGGUGACUGUGUCUCUGGAAGUCAGCACAGUGUGAGGGACAAGGAGGCCCUGGCCCAGUGAGGAUGAACAUUUGAGUGAACAAUGGAGAGCCUGGAGCAAGAGAGCCUGGGGCCCAGACCAGUUUUGGGAGAAUUCCCACAGAGGGUUGUGACUGUCUCAGGAGUGAGCCUUUAUGGGCAGACAGGGCAUCGUUUUAAAAGCCACAUAUUCAGUUUUUGUUUUUGGCCACAUACUCCUCCCAAUUUGGCACAUCAGCCUGCCCAUCGUCUGGGAUCCCCCUGAUCCCCCAGGAUGGGAGGGGAAGCCCCCAGCCCCACAGGAGACUUUUCCAGCAACACUACUCCUGGCCCUGGAUGACAGUGGGUUUCCUGAUGAGGUGCAAGGGCGCGACAUACGGUUUCCAUGGCCUCUCAACAGUCACUCAACAAAUAUUUGCCAAGCGCCUGCCUGGGGCAGGAAAUGCCAGGAGCCUGGGGCGGGAAACAACUAAUUCAGGCCUCCGGAGCCCAGACAGAGGCAUCCUGGGUCACACAGAUUAACAAGCUGUAGGUCCGGGCCUCUGACUUCACUCAGAAGAUGGAACACUGGAGUUGAGAUCUGGGGGCACAAGGUGGUGGAGGUGUGUGUGUGGGGGUGACCUCACCAGGCAGCAAGUGGGCUGGGAACCUCACCUUCCAGGCACAAGGAAGGUGUGCAGGACCUCGAGGGAGAAGCAAGCAAGGCCCGUCCAGAAAGUGAAAGGAGAGGCUGACUCUGGGCUGCAUCUUUAGUUGGCUUCUCUCCUUCGGGGGAUCAUACCCACAGUCCCGGGGCUCUGCUUUGGAUUGAAAGGUAUGUUUCCCACCCCAAUUCAUAUGUUGAAGGCCUAAUCCCCAGUGUAGCUGUAUUUGGAGAUAGGAUCCUACUUGAAGGUAAUUAAGGCUAAAUGGGAUCAUAAAGGUGGGGCCUGGAUCCAACAGAACUCCUGGUCCUUCUAAGAGGAAGAGAGAUUUCAUAGGGAAGGCCAUGUGAGCACACUAGAACCCAACCAGAACCUGAUCACGCUAGCAUCUUGGACUUCCAGCCUCAAGAGCAGUGAGGAAAUAAGUGUCUCCUGCUUAGGCUGCCUCACCUAAGGUAUCUUGUUACAGCAGCCUAGGCAGACUAAGAUGGACUCCAAACACCACCUACUCACCCCGCAACUUUUUCCUGGAGGCCCAGGCCUGGACCUCCCUGUGGACCGCAGGCUUGCACACGGCCCAGAUGCCAACACAAAGCAUCCUCAGCUCAUCUCCUGCACCCCCACUAAGGCUGCUCUGGCCGCAGCUUGCACCAGCCCCAGCCCCAGCCCCA
ensembl:lncRNA